rnacentral:misc_RNA from 1 species
CCAAUUGGCCUUACACCAAUUGGAGCAACAAAAUUUCAGUUAUGACCAUUUGAAUGGGCAAGGGUCAAGCUGUCCAGAUUUGGACAUUACCACAUUCAAUCCCAUUUCAAUUCUAUGCAUUCAAUCACACUCAUAAACACAUCAAUAGACCAAUUUAAGCAUCAAUUAUGUCAAUUGUGUAUCAAUUCAUCAAAAUCCACAAAAUUUUCCCAAUUUCCGAAUUGCCAAAAACCUAAAUUUUCAAUUGUCACAAUUUAUGAAAUCAAAGUGUACAAGACUUAUUUACAUACUCAAUCAAGCAUGAAUACACUUUUAAUUCCAACAAAUUCCAUCAAACCCUAAUUUCCACAUGUUGGCCGAAUUUCCUAGGGUUCAAUACAUACAUGAUUUCUUGAUUUCCUAUGUAAAUUCCUACUUAUUCAAUUCCAUCUCUAUACAUAAUACUCAAUUUAAAUGGAAAGAAAGACUUACCUAAUUCAAGCAAAUUUUCAUCUUUUCAAAUCUUCAAUUUCCUUCUUCCUUUUUGGUCCCAAGUGAUUUAUCUAGGUCUAAAGGUGAAAUUUUGUGUUAGGGCUAAGAGAAUUUAUGGGAAGAAACUAAGGGGAUUCAAGCUUUUUAAGUCCAAUAAUGAAGGAACAUAAGAGAGUGUAGAGAGAGAAAGAGGAUGGCAAGGAUAGAGAAGAAGAAGAACAAAUAAUUUUUUCUUUUUAAUUAUCAUUAUCUCCUUUUAACUUAUCUCAAUUUAAUGAAAUUAAAUUAAAUUUCUUUAUUGUGUCAUGCUUGUAUCAUCCAUGAUGUCAUAAAACUUUUUAAUUUUUUUGAUUUUUUUUCAUUUCUUUUUUUCCUU